UCUUAGUUUUACUUUAUUUAUAACUUGUAUUAAAACAAAUAAUUUAUGCAUUAACAUAGUAUAUAAGCCACUGAAAAAUAAACUGUUUUACCGUUGCUUAUUUUGAGAUAGCAAACGUUCUAUUUAAACAUGAAAGCCGUUAUCGCUGUUCUUCUUUUGGCCAUGGUUGUAUGUGCCAUGUGCCAGGUAGCUCCUGUCUACAACUACGGAUACAACACCUACACCCCUGGGGCACGUGUAUCUCACUACGCAUCCUCUGGCUAUGCAGCUGCAGCUCCUCAUUUUGCCUAUAACUAUGCAUAUGGUGCUUAUCCUUACAGACACUGGUAAAUGGCUUUAAUGGAUAUAAAAUGGAGAUAUUGAAUUCUUGAUGGAGGACGAGUGGAGAUAUGAAGAUACUGCUGCUAUCUUUAAAAAAAAAAUUUUAAUUUUAAAUUUAAAUUGCCUUUUUUUAUAAAGAAAAAUAAGAAAGUUCCUUCCUGGAACUAAAAAUAAUUUAGACGUGUUUCUUCUAUGUAACUUCAAAUCCUGUAUUUCAAAAAAUAAAUUUCUUUUUGUUUCUUUAA